ACAUGCAAGUCGAGCGAAUCUGAUGGGAGCUUGCUCCCUGAUGAUUAGCGGCGGACGGGUGAGUAACACGUGGGUAACCUGCCUGUAAGACUGGGAUAACUCCGGGAAACCGGGGCUAAUACCGGAUAACUUUUUUCUUCGCAUGARGGAGAAUUGAAAGAUGGCUUCGGCUAUCACUUACAGAUGGACCCGCGGCGCAUUAGCUAGUUGGUGAGGUAACGGCUCACCAAGGCGACGAUGCGUAGCCGACUUGAGAGGGUGAUCGGCCACACUGGGACUGAGACACGGCCCAGACUCCUACGGGAGGCAGCAGUAGGGAAUCUUCCGCAAUGGACGAAAGUCUGACGGAGCAACGCCGCGUGAGUGAUGAAGGUUUUCGGAUCGUAAAACUCUGUUGUUAGGGAAGAACAAGUAUCGUUCGAAUAGGGCGGUACCUUGACGGUACCUAACCAGAAAGCCACGGCUAACUACGUGCCAGCAGCCGCGGUAAUACGUAGGUGGCAAGCGUUGUCCGGAAUUAUUGGGCGUAAAGCGCGCGCAGGCGGUUUCUUAAGUCUGAUGUGAAAUCUUGCGGCUCAACCGCAAGCGGCCAUUGGAAACUGGGAGACUUGAGUGCAGAAGAGGAGAGUGGAAUUCCACGUGUAGCGGUGAAAUGCGUAGAGAUGUGGAGGAACACCAGUGGCGAAGGCGACUCUCUGGUCUGUAACUGACGCUGAGGCGCGAAAGCGUGGGGAGCGAACAGGAUUAGAUACCCUGGUAGUCCACGCCGUAAACGAUGAGUGCUAAGUGUUAGAGGGUUUCCGCCCUUUAGUGCUGCAGCUAACGCAUUAAGCACUCCGCCUGGGGAGUACGGCCGCAAGGCUGAAACUCAAAGGAAUUGACGGGGGCCCGCACAAGCGGUGGAGCAUGUGGGUUUAAUUCGAAGCAACGCGAAGAACCUUACCAGGUCUUGACAUCCUCUUGACCUCCCUAGAGAUAGGGGAUUUCCCUUUCGGGGACAGGAGUGACAGGUGGGUGCAUGGUUGUCGUCCAGCUCGUGUCGUGAGAUGUUGGGUUAAGUCCCGCAACGAGCGCAACCCUUGACCUUA
rnacentral:rRNA from 1 species